GUCCAAGAUAAUUCCCUCUUCCCAGGGACCGAGUGCCCCUCUCAGGAUGGCAGCAGCUUGGAAUAGAAUAUGGGCUGCCUAGAGGGUCUUGGGGGAGAGCAGUGCUCUUUUCCUUUGCCUGCCUUUGGCAGCCUACAUAG